UCGAGCGGCAGAUGGGAGCUUGUCCCUGAUGUUAGCGGCGGCGGGUGAGUAACACGUGGGUAACCUGCCUGUAAGACUGGGAUAACUCCGGGAAACCGGGGCUAAUACCGGAUGCUUGUUUGAACCGCAUGGUUCAAAUAUAAAAGGUGGCUUCGGCUACCACUUACAGAUGGACCCGCGGCGCAUUAGCUAGUUGGUGAGGUAACGGCUCACCAAGGCAACGAUGCGUAGCCGACCUGAGAGGGUGAUCGGCCACACUGGGACUGAGACACGGCCCAGACUCCUACGGGAGGCAGCAGUAGGGAAUCUUCCGCAAUGGACGAAAGUCUGACGGAGCAACGCCGCGUGAGUGAUGAAGGUUUUCGGAUCGUAAAGCUCUGUUGUUAGGGAAGAACAAGUACCGUUCGAAUAGGGCGGACCUUGACGGACCUAACCAGAAAGCCACGGCUAACUACGUGCCAGCAGCCCGGCAAUACUGGUUCCGGGGGUU
rnacentral:rRNA from 1 species